rnacentral:rRNA from 1 species
UGGGGAAUAUUGGACAAUGGGCGCAAGCCUGAUCCAGCCAUGCCGCGUGAGUGACGAAGGCCUUAGGGUUGUAAAGCUCUUUUGGCGGGGAAGAUAAUGACGGUACCCGCAGAAUAAGCUCCGGCUAACUUCGUGCCAGCAGCCGCGGUAAUACGAAGGGGGCUAGCGUUGUUCGGAUUUACUGGGCGUAAAGGGCGCGUAGGCGGCAAUUCAAGUCAUCUGUGAAAUCUCCGGGCUUAACUCGGAACGGUCAGAUGAUACUGCUUUGCUAGAGUGCAGAAGGGGCAAUCGGAAUUCUUGGUGUAGCGGUGAAAUGCGUAGAUAUCAAGAGGAACACCUGAGGUGAAGACGGGUUGCUGGGCUGACACUGACGCUGAGGCGCGAAAGCCAGGGGAGCAAACGGGAUUAGAUACCCUUGUAGUCCCUGAGCGGGCUGGCAAGGCGCAU